rnacentral:rRNA from 1 species
UACGUAGGGUGCAAGCGUUGUCCGGAAUUAUUGGGCGUAAAGAGCUCGUAGGCGGUCUGUUGCGUCGGCUGUGAAAACCCGGGGCUCAACCCCGGGCCUGCAGCCGAUACGGGCAGACUAGAGUUCGGCAGGGGAGACUGGAAUUCCUGGUGUAGCGGUGGAAUGCGCAGAUAUCAGGAGGAACACCAAUGGCGAAGGCAGAUCUCGCUGGGCCGUAACUGACGCGUGAGGAAGCGGAAAGCAUGGGGAGCGAACA